CGGGCGAGCGGCGUCGGCGCACUGCCCUCCCCGGAGACAGCGGAGCGUUUCAGCGGCCGCCGGGAACUUGCUGACUCUUCACAUUGCGGUCAGAGGCGGGAGCGACUGGCAAGAGUGAACAGUUACCUGACAAAAACAAGAAGGACCCUCAGUUCAUGGACUGACCAGUUAAAAGAAAAAAUACAAAAGAUGAAAAUAAACCACGAGUUCUCAUGACAGAAGGAUUAUUCCACAAG
rnacentral:lncRNA from 1 species